CUUUUUAUUAAUUGAUAGUAAACUUACACAUGCAAGAUUCCACUAACCAGUGAGAAUGCCCUCUAUAUCUAACCAGAUCAAAAGGAGCAGGUAUCAAGCUCACAAACUAAACAACGUAGCUCAUAACACCUUGCUAAGCCACACCCCCACGGGAUACAGCAGUGAUUAAAAUUAAGUUAAUAAACGAAAGUUUGACUAAGUUAUACUAUAACUCAGGGUUGGUAAAUCCCGUGCCAGCCACCGCGGUCAUACGGUUAACCCUAAUUAAUAAAUUACGGUGUAAAGCGUGGUUAAGGGACUAAUUGACUAAUAGGAUUAAAACCUGACUAAACUGUAAAAAGCCAUAGUUUGAACUAAAUUAGCCCACGAAAGUAAUCCUAAUCUUCCUGACUCCACGACAGCUAAGACCCAAACUGGGAUUAGAUACCCCACUAUGCUUAGCCAUAAACAAAUACUCGGUAACAAGAGUAUUCGCCAGAGUACUACCGGCAGUAGCCUGAAACUCAAAGGACUUGGCGGUGCCUUAUAUCCCUCUAGAGGAGCCUGUUCUAUAAUCGAUACACCCCGAUAUACCUAACCACCUUUCGCAAAUAUCAGCCUAUAUACCGCCAUCUUCAGCAAACCCUAAAAAGGUGUCAAAGUAAGCAAAACUGUCAUAAACAAAAACGUUAGGUCAAGGUGUAGCCUAUAAGGUGGAAAGAAAUGGGCUACAUUUUCUAUUUACUAGAACAAUACUAACAAAAUCCCCAGUGAAAUCCUGGAGCCUAAGGCGGAUUUAGUAGUAAGUUAAGAAUAGAGAGCUAUACUGAAUCGGGCAAUAAAGCAUG
rnacentral:ncRNA from 1 species